UAUGUUUUUCNCUGCCUACCAUCAUUUUG
rnacentral:piRNA from 1 species